UGGAUCCAGAACUUUGAUUCUGGCUCAGGAUGAACGCUAGCUACAGGCUUAACACAUGCAAGUCGAGGGGAAACGAUAUUGGAAGCUUGCUUCCGAUAGGCGUCGACCGGCGCACGGGUGAGUAACGCGUAUCCAACCUGCCCACCACUUGGGGAUAACCUUGCGAAAGUAAGACUAAUACCCAAUGAUAUCUCUAGAAGACAUCUGAAAGGGAUUAAAGAUUUAUCGGUGAUGGAUGGGGAUGCGUCUGAUUAGCUUGUUGGCGGGGUAACGGCCCACCAAGGCUACGAUCAGUAGGGGUUCUGAGAGGAAGGUCCCCCACAUUGGAACUGAGACACGGUCCAAACUCCUACGGGAGGCAGCAGUGAGGAAUAUUGGUCAAUGGGCGAGAGCCUGAACCAGCCAAGUAGCGUGCAGGAUGACGGCCCUAUGGGUUGUAAACUGCUUUUAUAAGGGAAUAAAGUGAGCUACGUGUAGCUCUUUGCAUGUACCUUAUGAAUAAGGACCGGCUAAUUCCGUGCCAGCAGCCGCGGUAAUACGGAAGGUCCGGGCGUUAUCCGGAUUUAUUGGGUUUAAAGGGAGCGUAGGCCGGAGAUUAAGCGUGUUGUGAAAUGUAGAUGCUCAACAUCUGCACUGCAGCGCGAACUG
rnacentral:rRNA from 1 species